rnacentral:rRNA from 1 species
CGCGGUAAUACGUAUGUCCCGAGCGUUAUCCGGAUUUAUUGGGCGUAAAGCGAGCGCAGACGGUUGAUUAAGUCUGAUGUGAAAGCCCGGAGCUCAACUCCGGAAUGGCAUUGGAAACUGGUUAACUUGAGUGCAGUAGAGGUAAGUGGAACUCCAUGUGUAGCGGUGGAAUGCGUAGAUAUAUGGAAGAACACCAGUGGCGAAGGCGGCUUACUGGACUGUAACUGACGUUGAGGCUCGAAAGUGUGGGUAGCAAACAGGAUUAGAUACCCUGGUAGUCCACACCGUAAACGAUGAACACUAGGUGUUAGGAGGUUUCCGCCUCUUAGUGCCGAAGCUAACGCAUUAAGUGUUCCGCCUGGGGAGUACGACCGCAAGGUUGAAACUCAAAGGAAUUGACGGGGACCCGCACAAGCGGUGGAGCAUGUGGUUUAAUUCGAAGCAMCGCGAAGAACCUUACCAGGUCUUGACAUCCUUUGAAGCUUUUAGAGAUAGAAGUGUUCUCUUCGGAGACAAAGUGACAGGUGGUGCAUGGUCGUCGUCAGCUCGUGUCGUGAGAUGUUGGGUUAAGUCCCGCAACGAGCGCAACCCUUAUUGUUAGUUGCCAGCAUUCAGAUGGGCACUCUAGCGAGACUGCCGGUGACAAACCGGAGGAAGGCGGGGACGACGUCAGAUCAUCAUGCCCCUUAUGACCUGGGCUACACACGUGCUACAAUGGCGUAUACAACGAGUUGCCAACCCGCGAGGGUGAGCUAAUCUCUUAAAGUACGUCUCAGUUCGGAUUGUAGUCUGCAACUCGACUACAUGAAGUCGGAAUCGCUAGUAAUCGCGGAUCAGCACGCCGCGGUGAAUACGUUCCCGGGUCUUGUACACACCGCCCGUCACACCAUGGGAGUUUGUAAUGCCCAAAGCCGGUGCCUAACCU